CUGGUCCAUUAAUUCAGAAAAUAGCCAGCCAGAGAUAGGUGUAUAACAAUAUCUGGCUGUUAUGUCUGCUAUUAUUCAUGCUCUGUUAGUCCUAAAUACUGUAUAGACACAGCAGAAGCUGAUUGUCUUUUUCCCUAGGAUUGAGAAUUACAGCCACCUCUUCAUAAAACAGGUAGAGCAGUAAAAAAUAAAAUGUAAGUACCUCCUCCUGCUCCCACCCCC